rnacentral:lncRNA from 1 species
GCUUAAUGCCAGCAUCUAUUAAAGCUAGAGCUGCCUCCUCCCUGUGAAGUUUAUUCACAGUGGAAGUUGGAAGUCUCCUCAACUUCAUUUUAUUGACAAUAUCUUCAUUGAAGAGGAUGUUGGCAUAUAUGGUGUGAUGGCUGGUGCUGCUGCAGUCAUGAGGGGAACCACACAACAUGCUGGAAAAGGCAAAGGGAGAGACUAAAGUUCAUGGCGCCUGAUGACAACUCUAUUUUGCUGAAUUAACUAUCCCUGCAGACCCCUAAUGAAGAAC